rnacentral:tRNA from 1 species
AUAUCUCUAGUAUUAAAAAUAGUACAAAUGACUUCCAAUCAUAUAGUCUUGGUUAAAUCCCAAGGAGAUAUA